UAACUAAUACGCGACCUCUAGUAAGAUUUAAUUAGUUGAAAAGAUUAAGGAUAUUAUCGAAAUAUUUAGUAAUAAUUUACUUUUAAAUUAAAGUGUUAAGCAUAUAAAGGGUAUAAAUAGAGGCUAAUCAGUUGUUACAGCGCAACUUGUAUUUCUUAUCUGUUACCAUGAAGUUCAAGAUGUUAUAUAGUGUAAUUUUAUUCGUAUUGAAGUGGUUACUUAUGACAAAAGCAGCUUACGAUACUAAUUCAAAAGAUAUAACAUAUUGGACAACUGAAAAACCAGAUAUAUUGUCUAAGAUACGUCAUAUAACAGAAACAAAGGAUGGAAAAACUAAUGGUCACAAACAUCGUUGUAAACACUAAUGGCACUGCAUUUUCUGCUAUGACAAUUAUAAGGAAGAAAUAUUAUUAUUAUUAUAAUAUUAUAUG